GACAGAGGGGGCAAGCGUUGCUCGGAAUUACUGGGCGUAAAGGGCGCGUAGGCGGGAUGGCAAGUCGGUCGUGAAAUCCCUCGGCUCAACCGAGGAACGUCGAUCGAUACUGCUGUUCUUUGAGGAUUGCAGAGGAGACUGGAAUUCCCGGUGUAGCGGUGAAAUGUGUAGAGAUCGGGAGGAACACCGGUGGCGAAGGCGGGUCUCUGGACAGUUCCUGACGCUGAGGCACGAAGGCCAGGGGAGCAAACGGG
rnacentral:rRNA from 1 species